rnacentral:misc_RNA from 1 species
UCGACCCUCCACAUUACCGUGAUUCAGUUUGUGUAUUUUGUGUUGUGUUGGGUCGCAGUUUCUGAUCGUAGUAAAAAACUAUUGGUUAUUGUUGUCUUUCAUGAAUAACUGAAGGAAGAGAAUACAUCAAAUUAUCGGUGUUGAUGAUACCUGGACAUGUUGACAACUGCUGUUGACACCUGCCGUUGACACCUGCCGUUGACACCUGCGCUCCAAAUUAGCCGCAUGAGUUGAUUGUCCUCUGUGGAAGUUGCCCCUUUUUAAGAUAAGAAAACUAAUUUGACAAUAGAAAAAAAAAUAUGUUAAAUUAAACAGUGAAAUUUAGUAAAAAUUUUAUAGUGUGAAUACCUCGUCCUGCGCCUGUGUGUUUAGUGUGGCGCCAAACAUUGUGACGCACGGAAACACUCAGAGUCGCACGUCAUAAGAAAGUGUCGACGCUCCAUUACCCUGCCUGCACUGUGUUGAUGCCAGAAACCCGGAAAAUAUUCUCCACCUAACACUGUUGAAGGAAGUUGAUGGAGAGAAGCCAACAUGCAGAUGGGUCGAAUACUAUGGUGCUGCAGCUGACAAGUUGCAGAUGUUGUCAGGAGGCCCCCUUUUCUAACAUCAGGCUGGCCUCUGUAGUUUUAAAAGUUUAAAAGUGCCAAAAUUAAAGAUAGACAUAGAACAGUAAACAAAUCAGAGUGGGCCACUGUGGAAAGGGGAGGCCAGGCCAUAUUUGUAGUGGGUUGGGCCACAGUAUGGACUCUGCGCGGCUGCCUACUGACACGCGCAACAUCCCCCACAUGCAGCUCUUCCACCAUUUGAAGCAGAAAUUCCCUGAUCUGAAGGACAAUGAUGUCAAUGAAAGUAUUCAAAAGUAUGGACUUGACCGUGAACGUUGUGAGGAGGAGUUAUCUCAGAAGACCCAAAUCCACCAUGGUGGUUACUAUGGUCCUUGGGGUCGCUCCGGCAGCGGACUAUCAUCGCCCUCAAUGUCACGAGUUACCUCACCUAUCAGAACAGGCAUACCGUCCACGCCUACCACACCUGUUCUUACUACCACAACCACUCCCACAACUCAGAUGUCGCACCACUCCACUGCAACACAUCAUGUGUUUGGGCCAUUGCAGUCCAGUGGCUACCUAGUAUACAGUUAUGGCCCUGGGCCAGUUUAUACAUCUCCCACCACUACUGCUUUAACUACCAGCCCUGUAUUUUAUCAACCUCCAAUCAAUAAUCCAGUAGGUUACGGGUGGCACCCUUCUGUCUCCAAUGGAUUUCGUGCAGCUGGUGUACAACCACCCACAAGACAGUUACAAGGGAGCUGUAGUAGACAAGAUACUCCAUAUUGCUCCCAUGAAGCUUCCAAGUCUCGAUCCAGCACACCAGUUCUACCUAACUCAGCCCCAGUUGUACCCAAUUCAUAUGACCCAUUUAUCGGUUAUGAAAACAAAGGCCCCCCAGAACGUCGUAAAAGUGCAGAAACACAUUAUGAAGGAAGAAGAGGACUUCCAUUUAAUAUGCAAGAAUUUGAACAACAGUUUGAAAGAUUGAAUGACAGUCCACAUCAUUCCCCAACUCCCCCAUUAAACAAUAUCAUAAAUUCUCCAUCUCCAACAGCAACAACUACUACAACGAUCACCACCACUACGAGCAACUGUAUAAACCCCAACAACAUCAAUGGCAGCAGUAGCAGUCGACCUCCACCAGCACUGGUACAAGAGCAGAUUGUACGCAAGCAAAAGCUUGAGGCUGAACUAGCAAAACAAAUAGAGGAGAAAGGCAGAUUAGAGACAGAGGUGGAUAUGAUGAUGCGUGAAUUAAAUGAACGAGAGCAGCAACGCAAGCAUAACGCUGACACUAACACUAUGAGAAUCGAGGAAGUACAACGGGAGAAUCAGCGAUUACAAUCUGAAUGUUAUGAAAUGGAAAAUAAAAUUUUACGCCUUGCACCAGACAUGGAACCAGAAGGAUACCCAAACAUACCCUCCACCCAACCUUACAGUGAAGUUCCUGCAGCCUCUCAACUAACUAGAGCAAGUUCUGGUUCAAGUUUGGGCAGUGGAACAGGCACACCUCAGACUCCACACACGCCCCACACACCGCACACGCCUCACACACCCCACACGCCCCACACACCUCACUUGCCUGGGGCUUACAUACCUCCUAGACCUGCCGCCCCUCCCCCACCACCACCACCAACAUCAGUCCCCAAUCAUAGUUACCAAGAAUUUCAGGGAGUGCGUGGGGAAGCAGUGGAUGAGAUUGGUCCAAAGUGGGGAUGUACCAAAUGCACCUUCAUCAAUCAUCCAGAUAUGAACAAGUGCGAGAUGUGCGACUAUCCACGCUUCACCAUAGAACAUUGCCGGUUUUUGGAGCAUUCUGCGUACUGGGACACUGGAUAAACGGUUCCAUACCUGAUAUUGAUGCUGAAUGAGGGAAUUCUUUAUGAUGAUAUUAAAGAAUAGAUGAUUAUAUUAUUUAUAUCAUAAUGAGGUCACAAGAAUAUCCAGGCUGGGCGAUGGUGUAAACUUCUCGUUCCUUGCUUCCUGUCUCUGGCACAAAGUGAGAGACCUUCCUUAACACUGUUGCUGUGGCACCACGGCAAUGGGACCUGUGGCACACUUUUUCUUUGGGUGCCUCACCUGCCUGGCACUGAACACAUCUGGUUGAAGAUCAUGUGCAGCAUGUUUGUCUUUUAGCAGCACAAGUAUACCCAAGGGCUGUGUGCACUCUAUCUUCUUCCCUCUGGGUAGAUUGCACCACCCAAGGAACGCAAGUAUACUUUCGUCAACCUUUGCCUGGGUUUGUCGACUGUGUGAGGUCGUGCAUACCUUUCUCCUUACAGGGUACUUUGCUCAAUUUUUCCAAGGCAUGAGGCAUUAUCAAGCAUUGUUCAGGGGUUAUGUCUGCUUGCAAGUCAUUCUCAUCAGUAACUUGCUUAAAAAAAAACGACAAAACUUGAAAUGUUCCAUUUUUUAUGUAAAUUUAAUGUAAACUUUUUAAGUUUUUUAAGUUCUUCAGUGAAGUUGAUAAAUUAAGCAGACUGGCACCCAAUACAAAAUUAAAAUUUUAAUUUAAAAGUACUUAAUGCUUUUAGUCCCUCAGAAUUUAAGCUAUUCCCUGGUAAGGUGUUCAAGUUGCACGUGAAGGGGUUUUGCUGUAAUAAAUGUUAUUGGUACUAGUGGUUCACAUGACCACACUUGCUCACCAAUGUUAAGCUAAAGAAAGCAAUUAUAACUAAUUCACAAUGACUACUGUGAAAACAAUAAGAGUCUUACUUUUGCAUAGUCAGAUGAUGUUAUUUAAAACAAAUGACUUGUUAAGUACGUUUUUGCUUUUGGAAGAACUUUCAUGCAACUGCAUAGAAUUUGGUCUGUAUGUCAAGUGAUUUUAUUAAUAUGAUAAGUCAUAGUAUGGUUGUGAUAUUUGAAGGAAUAUUUUAUUACUGUACUAAAAUUUAGACACUUAUGUACAUUAUAUCACUGACAUUUGUAAAACCUCUCAUAUUCAGUUGGUAAAUUUCAAUACUGUUUACAGAGUGAAUACAUGCCAAUUUUCCAAGGAAGUUUAACAGCUUAUUGGGCAUCCCUGUUUACCUAUAACUGAUUAUCAUUCCAUGGGCCAGAGAACUGUAUAUCAGUUUCCCUAAUUCUUUUAGUCUUCUGCCUAUGCACUUCUUUUAUGAUGAAGUACACAAUGGAUAUUGCUGUAUUUAUAUUCCGAAGAUUUUAAUCAUUUCCAUUUAAAGACACUGUGGAAACCUCUGGCCCCACAAUUUUUGUUUAGACUAAUAAAUGCUAGGUGUAUGAGGCUUAAAUCAGUAGAGUAUCCUGCUGGCAAACCAAAGAUGUUCACAUUUGCCUCCUAGAGACACGAGGUAAGCAGAUUUAUCAGGGUUAUAUUUUAUUGAAAACUCAACUGAUUAUAAAGUCGAAUCAAACUAAUGUGGUAAUUUAUACAAACAUUACAGUAGCAUCAUGAAGAAUUUAGGGUAUUAAGGCCCUUUAUCCAUACUAGGGUGAAUUUGUUAUUCAGAGGUAAUAAUUUGUAAAUACUGUACAUGUAUUUUGUACUACAUACCGUAUGUACAAUGUAUAAAUGUUCAGGUUCCAACUUCUGACAGGUAUCAGGUAAAUCAUGUAUGUUGAGAAAAUCUAAAUGCUGCUUAUCCUCUUACAAACAGAAACUUCUGUUAUUUUGUCUUGUGAACAGGACCUCGGUAAUGGAAACUAGCAACUUUGUAUACAUAUGACAACGAUGUUGUUGCAUUAAAUCCUACGAUAUUA